AGGGUGACAGGUGGUGGCAUGGUUGUCGUCAGCUCGUGUCGUGAGAUGUUGGGUUAAGUCCCGCAACGAGCGCAACCCUCGACCUUAGUUGCCAGCAUUCAGUUGGGCACUCUAAGGUGACUGCCGGCUAAAAGUCGGAGGAAGGUGGGGAUGACGUCAAAUCAUCAUGCCCCUUAUGACCUGGGCUACACACGUGCUACAAUGGGCGGUACAAAGGGUCGCGAACCCGCGAGGGGGAGCCAAUCCCAAAAAGCCGCUCUCAGUUCGGAUUGCAGGCUGCAACUCGCCUGCAUGAAGCCGGAAUCGCUAGUAAUCGCGGAUCCAGCAUGCCGCGGUGAAUACGUUCCCGGGCCUU
rnacentral:rRNA from 1 species